CAAGUCGAACGAGGUCCAACUGAUGGCAACAUCAGGGACGAUCUAGUGGCGAACGGGUGCGUAACACGUGAGAAACCUGCCCCGAUCUCUGGGAUAACAGUUGGAAACGACUGCUAAUACCGGAUGCCGUCGCAGCAUCGCAUGGUGCAGUGACGAAAGGGUUACCGGAUCGGGAGGGUCUCGCGGCCUAUCAGCUAGUUGGUGGGGUAAAGGCCUACCAAGGCAUCGACGGGUAGCUGGUCUGAGAGGAUGAUCAGCCACACUGGGACUGAGACACGGCCCAGACUCCUACGGGAGGCAGCAGUGGGGAAUCUUGCGCAAUGGGCGAAAGCCUGACGCAGCAACGCCGCGUGGGGGAAGAAGGCUCUCGGGUUGUAAACCCCUUUCAGUAGGAACGAAAAUGACGGUACCUGCAGAAGAAGGUGCGGCCAACUACGUGCCAGCAGCCGCGGUGACACGUAGGCACCAAGCGUUGUCCGGAUUUAUUGGGCGUAAAGAGCUCGUAGGCGGUUUGGUAAGUCGGGUGUGAAAACUCUGGGCUCAACCCAGAGACGCCACUCGAUACUGCCAUGACUUGAGUUCGGUAGGGGAGCGGGGAAUUCCUGGUGUAGCGGUGAAAUGCGCAGAUAUCAGGAGGAACACCGGUGGCGAAGGCGCCGCUCUGGGCCGAAACUGACGCUGAGGAGCGAAAGCGUGGGUAGCAAACAGGAUUAGAUACCCUGGUAGUCCACGCCGUAAACGUUGGGCACUAGGUGUGGGCUCUAACCAACGGAGUCCGUGCCGUCGCUAACGCAUUAAGUGCCCCGCCUGGGGAGUACGGCCGCAAGGUUAAAACUCAAAGGAAUUGACGG
rnacentral:rRNA from 1 species